GACAGAGGGGGCAAGCGUUGCUCGGAAUCACUGGGCGUAAAGGGCGCGUAGGCGGGAUGGCAAGUCAGUCGCGAAAUCUCUCGGCUCAACCGAGAAGCGUCGGCUGAUACUGCCGUUCUUGAGGGAUGCAGAGGAGACUGGAAUUCCCGGUGUAGCGGUGAAAUGUGUAGAGAUCGGGAGGAACACCGGUGGCGAAGGCGGGUCUCUGGGCAUUUCCUGACGCUGAGGCGCGAAAGCGUGGGGAGCAAACGGG
rnacentral:rRNA from 1 species